rnacentral:rRNA from 1 species
GAUGAACGCUGGCGGCGUGCCUAACACAUGCAAGUCGAACGGAGAUUACGGACGGAAGUUUUCGGAUGGAAGACUGUAAUUCUUAGUGGCGGACGGGUGAGUAACGCGUGGGCAACCUGCCCUAUACAGGGGGAUAGCAGCUGGAAACGGCUGGUAAGACCGCAUAAGUCGGUUAAAUCGCAUGAUUUGAUCGGGAAAUGAGUAAUCAGGUAUAGGAUGGGCCCGCGUCCGAUUAGCCAGUUGGCAGGGUAAAAGCCUACCAAAGCGACGAUCGGUAGCCGGACUGAGAGGUCGGACGGCCACAUUGGGACUGAGACACGGCCCAAACUCCUACGGGAGGCAGCAGUGGGGGAUAUUGCACAAUGGAGGAAACUCUGAUGCAGCGACGCCGCGUGAGUGAAGAAGUAUUUCGGUAUGUAAAGCUCUAUCAGCAGGGAAGAUGAUGACGUACCUGACUAAGAGCCCCGCA